GACGAACGCUGGCGGCGUGCCUAACACAUGCAAGUCGAGCGGACAGUAAUGUCAGCGGCGGACGGGUGAGUAACGCGUAGGCAACCUGCCUCAUACAGGGGAAUAACACGGGGAAACUUGUGCUAAUACCGCAUAAAGUAAUUGAUUGGCAUCAAUUAAUUACCAAAGGAGAAAUCCGGUGUGAGAUGGGCCUGCGUCCGAUUAGCUAGUUGGUGGGGUAAAGGCCUACCAAGGCGACGAUCGGUAGCCGAACUGAGAGGUUGAUCGGCCACAUUGGGACUGAGACACGGCCCAGACUCCUACGGGAGGCAGCAGUGGGGAGUAUUGCGCAAUGGAGGAAACUCUGACGCAGCAACGCCGCGUGAAGGAUGAAGGUUUUCGGAUUGUAAACUUCUUUGAUUGGGGAAGAAAAAAAUGACGGUACCCAAAAAACAAGCCACGGCUAACUACGUGCCAGCCGCCGCGGUAA
rnacentral:rRNA from 1 species